rnacentral:tRNA from 1 species
AUCCAGGGAUGGGAAUCGAACCCACAGUGUUCCGCUUACCGGGAGGAUGCCAUGUCCACUAGGCUACCCUGGA